rnacentral:rRNA from 1 species
CAUGGCGGCGGCAGCGGGUUAACCCCUUGCGCCAAACUGUCCGCUCUAACAGGCCGAAACGGUUCCCUGUGAGUAGGUCCUUCACGGGAUCGAAAGCGAUUACGCAUCAACCAUAUGCAUACGGGACGUCGGCCAAUGUUACUGUGAACAAACCAGCGUGUCCAAAGCAGGCUUUCGCCUGAAUGUUCGAGCAUGGAAUAACAAGGGAUCGAUUCUCUCGGUUCUUUUUGUUGGUUUUUAACCCGAGAAGGAGUAAUUCAGGCCACGGUGUCUGAGUUGGGUUCCCCUGCUCCUUGGAGUAGGCCCCAAUUAGGCCGUGUCCUUACGGGAUCAAUAGGGACUGACGGGGUCGUACGUACUCUCGCGUCAGAGGUGAAAUUCUUAGAUCGCGGGAAGACGAACUUCUGCGAAAGCAUUCGACAAGAAUGUCUUCAUUAAUCAAGAACGAGAGUGUGGGGAUCGAAGAUGAUCAGAUACCGUCGUAGUCCACUACUGUAAACAAUGCCGUCUCAGGAUUGAGAAGUGAACCAAAUGACUUUCACAGCACUAACCCCUGAAACGAGAAAUCAAAGAUUAUGGGUUCAGGGGGGAGUACAUUCGCAAGGCUGAAACUUAAAGGAAUUGACGGAAUGACACCACAAGGCGUGGAGUAUGCGGCUUAAUUUGACUCAACACGGGGAAUUUUACUAGGUCAGGACAAUGUAAGGAUUGACAGAUUGAGAGCUCUUUCUCGAUCCAUUGUGUGGUGGUGCAUGGCCGCUCCUGGUUGGUGGAGUGAUUUGUCUGGUUGAUUCCGUUAACGAACGAGAUCUCGACCCUUAAAUAGGUGCCCGUGUCGAUUGUAGUC